CUCUGAAAGCUCAACAAGUUGCAUAAAUUUUCUCCUGUAUAAGUAAAAUAAAAAUCAGGGGCAAAGGAAGGGUUGUUUAGUUUGAACCUAUACUGAACUCUAAGGCUAGUCGCCCAUGGGAAAGAGCACAGGAUAUGCUGGUUACAUCAGCAAGAGAUGGCUUAUACACUUGAAAGGUUGCACAACAGAUGAUGAGAAAAAAAACCCAACGGGAUGAUAGUGACACUAGGGACAAAGACCUUGUUAGACUUUCGAACAUUUUUCUUGUAUCUGUCCUGGCUAGGUUCUGCGGUUUAGUUCACCGUACACCCUUUUAGGCAGGGUUCUGUAAAGCUACCGAUUAGCACUGGAAGCACGGAGGGCACGAGGACGAGAAAAGCCUAGCAGAGGCUACAGCUGGUCUAGGCUCUGGAGGUGCAGCUCUUCCUGACUGGCUUCUUCCUCCUGUGAACAAGAAGAAAGUGUGACCUGCAAUGUCAGCAAGCUACCAAGAAGUCUAGCAACACUGUAGGAGAGAGGCAAGACCCUUCAAAGGCAAGACUUGGAUGCCCAGAGGUCUGUGGGACACAAGCUGAAAACCGUUGUUGUAGCAGAUACCUCCAUUAACAUCGCACAUUACUUGAGCAGGCCCAUGGACUGCAGGAUUGUCUGAGAUGGGAUUUUAACUCACUUCCCCAACACUCCUUUCCUUCCACUGUGCUCAUGCACCCACCUCCAUCUCAGAUAUAUUGAUCAGUAUCUGUGGGAUUUCUAUGGAAAUAGACAUCCUUACCAAUAUCCACCAUCUCUUGUCCUUACUGAUGAACACCAGAAAAACAGAAAUCUGCAUGUAGCCCUCAGUGUUCUUUUUGUGUUCUUUUGUCCAUGAAGAUGUCAGUCACAACCAGA